CCUACGGGUGGCAGCAGUGGGGAAUAUUGCACAAUGGGCGCUACCCUGAUCCAGCGACGCCGCGUGAGUGAUGAAGUAUCUCGGUAUGUUAAGCUCUAUUAGUAGGGAAGUAAAAUGACGGUACCUGACUAAUAAGCCCCGGCUAACUACGUGCCAGCAGCCGCGCUAAUACGGAGGGGGCAAGCGUUAUCCGGAUUUACUGGGUGUAAAGGGAGCGUAGACGGCGCGGCAAGUCUGAAGUGAAAGGCAGGGGCUUAACCCCAGAACUGCAUUGGAUACUGGCAUUCUAGAGUGCUGGAGAGGUAAGUGGAAUUCCUAGUGUAGCGGUGAAAUGCGUAGAGAUUAGGAGGAACACCAGUGGCGAAGGCGGCUUACUGGACAGUAACUGACGUUGAGGCUCGAAAGCGUGGGGAGCAAACAGGAUUAGAUACCCCUGUAGUC
rnacentral:rRNA from 1 species